GAUGAGAAUGUGAAACGUUAUUUGUUGAACUGAACAGAGGCAUACUUGAAAGUACACCACAGCUCAGAAGAUAGACACGGCUGCUAUAUACAGAGACAGAGGCACAUACGAACACACGCGCGCGUAUACAAUACUGGAGGUGACCUAAUCCAGGUACUGCAGAAAGUGAAUUCAGUUACUUUCUUAGUUUCGCCUCGCAUGGUAUCUCAAUCGGAAGCAGCUGACGUGCACGUACCACGGCGAACAGGUUGCAAGAUUGUUUUGUUAUUUUGCUUGUUUUUGCGUGCUUAUCGUUACGUACGCGUGUGUAUGCGAUGUGCGCCUUUCAAAUCUAAAAGUGUAAACGGGAAGCUCGAUAUUAGAGCAAAACAACGGCAAACAACGGCACAGCAUCAUCUGCUAAGAGAAUAUUGGCGGGAAGAAAGGAGAAAUUAAAUUAUCUGCCUCUUGCUAUUAUCAGUGUGUUCUCGUUAUUCAUGUGUAACUUAAACGGAAGGUAAAGCCAAAAUACGCCAACGACCUAACCUAAGCGAACGAGUGAACUGGAGAAUGAAUGAAUCAUCUUUUGCUGAAACUCUCGUCCAUAUUUCUAAUGAAUGCAAGCAAGCAAGCAAGCGGCGAGAGCAAAGCGGAAUGCAUGCACGCAUAAAAUACUUGCGCAAAAAUUUCUUUCGAAGGACACUGUAAAGAUUGAUUACUGUCUACCGUUAUCAAAUAAGGCAAUUAAUUUAAUAAUCCGUAAUUUUAAUCAGUCAAAGGAGCAAGAACAAGCCAGCAGAAGGAAGAUGGCAAGGCAAUGCGAAAAAAUUUGAUAUUCUGGUAUAGGAAAUGUCGGCAAAUAACGAAUCAAUACUGCAGGAAAAUAGUCUCCCAAGAUAUACGCUAUUAACGUAGACGUUGAUAGAAACUUUCCUCAUAUACUGGGAAAUAGGAAUUAACUUUGGUUUUGGUAAACCUCUGUCAGAGCAUCAUUGAUAUGAACGCGUAUUCAUGCUCGCCUAUACACGUAUCUACAUACGUACACACUAAUAACAAUAGACAGACAAGAAGAGAAAGUUGAACCAUCAUCGUAUAGACGAGAAGGCGGAGCAAAUGAAAAAAAGAAGAAGCAAUUUGUGAAUAUUGUCUGUAAAUUAAAAUAACUUGAAAAAUGAACACACACCCGCAAACGGACAAUGAGGACGAUGGCAAUAUUGCUGUCCAUUGGCCGCAAACCAAAAAACCCACUCAAUACAGCCACCAAACAAACGAUCAUGCCAUAAACUCAUCACCACAACUGAAAUAAAUCUAUAAAAGGGAAAUUAA